rnacentral:rRNA from 1 species
GACGAACGCUGGCGGCGUGCCUAAUACAUGCAAGUAGAACGCACAGUUUAUACCGUAGCUUGCUACACCAUAAACUGUGAGUUGCGAACGGGUGAGUAACGCGUAGGUAACCUGCCUGGUAGCGGGGGAUAACUAUUGGAAACGAUAGCUAAUACCGCAUAAUAUUAAUUAUUGCAUGAUAAUUGAUUGAAAGAUGCAAUUGCAUCACUACCAGAUGGACCUGCGUUGUAUUAGCUAGUAGGUGAGGUAACGGCUCACCUAGGCGACGAUACAUAGCCGACCUGAGGGGGUGAUCGGCCACACUGGGACUGAGACACGGCCCAGACUCCUACGGGAGGCAGCAGUAGGGAAUCUUCGGCAAUGGACGAAAGUCUGACCGAGCAACGCCGCGUGAGUGAAGAAGGGUUUCGGAUCGUAAAGCUCUGUUGUAAGAGAAGAACGGGUGUGAGAGUGGAAAGUUCACACUGUGACGGUAUCUUACCAGAAAGGGACGGCUAACUACGUG